rnacentral:tRNA from 1 species
GCGCCCGUGGCGGAAUUGGUAGACGCGCUGGAUUUAGGUUCCAGUGCCUUCAGGCGUGGGAGUUCAAGUCUCCCCGGGCGCACCA